rnacentral:lncRNA from 1 species
CACACUGAUUUCAAUCUGCUAAAGAGAUUGCCUUGCAACUAUUGGUUCUCCAUAACAGCAAUCCUGCAGUCCAGAAUCUUUCUAACAACCCAAGAGGCAUUUUUUGGCAGAGGCAUAGAACUAACAUCAUACUGUUUUAUGUAGUAGCAUUGCAGCCAUUUGAUCCAAAGACAAUCCUUCUUCCUGGCCAGAUCCCAAAGGAGUUUGGUAAUAGCUACCUNNN